rnacentral:misc_RNA from 1 species
AUCGGUUGUGUCGCGGGUUGUGUCACAGGUUGUGUAGCGGGUUGUGUCGCAGGUUGUGUAACCUGCGGCCUGAGAAAAAUUGAAUAUCUGACGAUCGACACAACAUGCGACAUAAGCUAAUUCGGUUGUGCUGCAGGUUGUGUCGCUCUCGGCCAUUUUUUACUCAACUUCAAAAAUUUUUGCAAUUCAACUCUAAUAUCCUCCAAAUGGCUAUUCUGAUCAAAAUAUACCAAAUUUCUCCAAAUUUAACAGAUGAAUGAGAUGAACAGAAUUAGUUGACAGCCUCCCCGUCUCAAUUUAAAGAAGGCCAGACAAUGAUUCCUGGAAAUUGGAGAAAUUAAUGAAAGGAUUAAAUCCAGCAAAUGAAAUUCACUUGUUACACUAAUCAUGUUGCAGAAACUAAUUCUCACCCAAUGCAUAGAAAUGCAUUGGAAUCUACCAAAUAUUAAAUGAAAGAAAAAGAAAAAGCCUUGCAAUAGAGGUUGAAGGUGAGAACUUACACAGUGACAGUGCAGAGGAUUUUUCUAAUCAAACAUUCCCUCGAAUUACUUUGUCAUUGAUAGAAAUAUUUGGGAUGUGAGUAACCUCGGGCCAAUUCUCCCCACCGUUCUUUUCAAAUUUUUCUGAUAGGUUGGGACAACGGUUGAUAUACAAAAAUUGUAAUGCAGUAAGGUUGUCCAUCCCCUCUGGUAAAGACAUCAAAUUACGACAAUCGCUGAUCUCGAGAACAUGCAGAGUGGUAGCAUACCGAAGUCCCCUUGGGAGAGACACCAAGUUCAGGUUAUUAUGAAGCCUUAGAGAACGGAGGUUUUUAAGGGCUUGCCAUUGCGUUCCUUUGUCAUUCUCAGCACGUGACAGAGUUGUUAUAUUUGUGCAACUAUUAACAAUCAGACUUUGAAGAGAAGUAAGGUUAAACAGCAACUCUGGCAGA